rnacentral:lncRNA from 1 species
UUUGGUAGUAUUCUGUGUUUCCACCUCAACUAUGGACCUCUCAAAAACAUUAAUGGUGAUUAGGGCAUACACUUUUAAUAAGUUGACUCUAUUAUCAGCCUUGAUUUUUAAAAUUUUUUUAAAUGUAUUUUUUAUUUUUUAAAAUAUUUUAUUUAUUCAUGAGAGACAUGGAGGGAGAGGCAGAGACAGAGGCAGAGGGAGAAGCAGGCUCCAUGCAAUGUGGGACUUGAAAAAUCAAGUGAGCCACCCAGGGGUCCUCAGCCUUUACUUGAAAAGAAAGGUAUGGAACUCCUGGGUGUCAACGGUUGAGCGUCUGCCUUUGGACCAGGGCAUGAUCCUGCAGUCCUGGGAUUGAGUCCCAUGUUGGGCUUCCUGCAUGGAGCCUGCUUCUCCCUCUGCCUUUGUCUAUCCCUCUCUCUCCAUGUCCCUCAUGAAUAAAUAAAUAAAAUCUUAAAAAUGAAAAGAAAGGUAUGAGGGCCUGAGCUAUGAGGCAAAUCUGGCCACCAUUCUCACAAUGCACUCAGCAUCAUUCUUUCCCCUUGAUGAGUGGGGGUCUGCAUUGACCAAUUCUGUUCUCCCUACAACCUGAAGGUUGAGUUCUCUUCCAGGAAUCUCCGCACUCUCUUUUGUAAGUGGACCUCCCAUUUACAAGUGACUUCAUCCACUCAAGUUUUCUAGACAUGCCCAGAGAAGCCUAAUUCCAGGGGUGGAUUCUAAAUUGUCUUAAAUGGAGGAGGGGAUCUUCACUCUUUUUCCUCCCUCCUUCCCUCUGCUGACAUCCCACUACAACACACACACGCACACUCCUGAAUCUGAUUCCAGUGAACUUCUACUACUAUGAUUCAAAAAUAUGAUGAGCCUAAGAAUAAGUGAAGAACUUUUUAAGCAUGUAGAUACCUGCAUUCUACCCCCAGAUGUUUGGAUUCCUUAGAUCUGUACUGUGUGACAAGAACACAUAUGUUUAGCAAACUCUCAGGGUAGUUCCAAUGAUAGUCUGAGAAUCACACUUUGAAAAUUACUAAUUUACAGUAUGAUCCUUCAUUCCUGCCCCCUUACAUCCUUUUCACCAUUAGAACUACUCCCCAUUUCUGAAACUUUCCUGAUUAUGCCAACCCCGUAUCUUUGCUCCUAUUCUGCUUUAGCAGCAAUGAUUUUCUUUCUAACGCCAUCUCUCCAAACCCUACCAGUCCAUAAGAAUGCAUGCCUCAUGAGGGCAGGAACUUUUUUUUUUAAGAUUUUAUUU